UGGAGAGCGGGCAGCAGGUCCUCCUAACGCAGUGUACCCCUGCGCCUGGCCUCCCAGCUGGGCAGCAACCCCACGGCUUGUGUUUCUCCCCAUCUCCCACCACCAACACAUGAGGACAAAACUGGCCCAGCGAGAGAUUGUCACCAGAAGACAGAGCAGCUGGAAGUAAUUUGGGACUUCUCAGAAUGCCAGGAGAGACAGAUACACGAAUGCCAGGAGAGAUAGAGCUCCUCAGCGAGGACUUGCUAACAGAUUAUUGGCAAAGUCUACUGACCAGGAAGAGCGUGUAGAGAAUAUUGCAGCAUGUUACAAGGUUGUCCUUUCCAGAGGAGGAAAGGAAUCAGCCAUGGCCACCUGGCCACUGGACACAUAGCUAGCAGCCUGGCCCAACCGUCUUCAAGGCUGCUUUGUCACCAAAAGCUGGACAGAGAACCACCUGUCAGCAUGAAUUCCUCUGAACUAAGUGUAAUCUAAGACGCAGAAGGAAUGUAGGAAUUAGAAAACUGCCAUUUUGCGUCCCCUUCUUAAAAUACUGUAGCCUGGCAGUGACCCUUAGCAGACAGUUGUGUGAACAGGUGACAGAAAAUGUUGUAACAGAAGGCUGACCUGAAAAUGUCUCAAUCCCCUGAUAAUUUUAGUGUCAUUACAAAGGAGACUGCCAAGCUUUAUGCACCUCUUGGUGGGACACACUUGAAAACAAAAAAACACACAGGUGAAGUACUACUGCCUGACAUAUUUAACCUGAAUCUAAUCCUAGUAUUUUAUAGGAAGUGUAGUAGCAGUAAAACAUAUUAACACCAUCACAAGAAUAAAACUGUCCAAAUCCAGAACACGCAGAAUUGUAUAUGCCUCUGAGCCAACCUCCUUACCAGAGUACAUGAUGGUUCUAUAUGGAAUGGGUUUGGGUUCAUCACACAAUCUACAAUGGGCAACAACAGAGCAAAGGGCAGGAAGGGUGAUUCUCCCCCUCUUCUUGAGCUGGAUCAUUCAUUUUCUGCUGUCCUGGGACAUCCAUGGACACAUGAACUCUGACAGGGCCUUGUACCUCUUUCCCUUCUCGCCUUGCCACUGAAUGGCACAAGAGCUCUCCCCUUUCUCCAGCUUCCAGACCCUGCGAAGUCUCAGUAACCACUGGAGCCAAUUCCUAUAAGAAAUCUCAUCCAUCCACCUAUCUAGACAGCUAUAAUCUAUCUAGUUAAAAGAACCCUAACGUCAUGUAUCCAAAAAUAAACAUUUUUAAUUUAAUAUAAAAAUCAUCGUGUGUAAU